rnacentral:pre_miRNA from 1 species
AAAAAGACAAACCCUGGUUUCCGUGCCUAACGUUUGACCGUCCGUCUUAUUUUAAAAAAUUAUGGAAAAAAUUAAAAAAACAAGUCACGCAUAAAAUAUUAAUCAUGUUUGAUCAUCUAACAAUAAUAAAAAUAUAAAUUAUAAAAAAAUUUCAUAUAAGACGGACAGUCAAAGUUAGACACGAAAACUCAGGGUUUGCCCUUUUU